AAGACUAUACUUUCAGGGAUCAUUUCUAUAGUUCAUUACUGGAGAAGUUUCUCUGAACGUGUAGAGCACCCGAAACCACGAGGAAGAGAUAAAGCGUUCUCUUCUGAGUGUGAAGUCGGCUUUUGGGGUUGCUUCUGCAGCUGCCGUUAGCCAUUGAUGAUCGUUCUUCUUUUCCUUUUAGGAGAUGAAGAGGGAAAGAACGUAAUCUGAGUGGAA
ensembl:snoRNA